ensembl:snRNA U6 U6 spliceosomal RNA
AUGCUUGCUUCUGCAGCACACAUACUAAAAUCGGAACAAUACAGAGAAGAUAAGAGUGGUCCCGUGCAUGCAUGACACGCAAAUUCAUUCUAUAUUUUU